rnacentral:lncRNA from 1 species
CAGCCGGUUGUGUGGUUGGUCCCGGGAGCCCAGGUUCUCUCUUCCUCAGAGCCUUCGGUUGGGACCAAUGUUCUGACAAACCGAAGAAGGGUGUGUCCUGCAGAAGUUUCUCAAAGGCUAGGCUACAGCAGUUGUCCAGCGAUGCUCUCCAAGGAAGGGAAAGAAGACAGAAACCGUAGCUUUUCCAGAUCGCACAAGUAAUGUGCCCAAACUGCAAAAAGACAGCGCACACCAACUGAAAGGAACCACCUGUGACUGUGCCUGUCCGAGAAGAUCACGUUUAGAGUUAGGGACAAAUGUCCAUCCUCGAAAAGGAGACCAUAAGCACAAUGGGUUCUCACUAUUUUGGGCUGAAAUAAUGCAACAGUUCUCUGGCCCAAUUAGUUUUUAAAAGCUGGUGGGGGAAAUAGUAAAAAUAAAAUAUGCCAACCCAGAAACUCCUCUGCACAAAUGCAGAAAGUGAAGACAACCGUUUUUAUCCCGAGGAAGCACUGAGCCAGACUGUGAUGCGCAUCCUAGGCGAACCACUAAGGAGACUGCAGGAGGACGCCUCGCCUUUCUAAUACCAAGCAGGGACCCUCCAGCCCGCGCACCCGGACUCAGGAUAAACUGCAGCUGGUCCUGGGUGAAAGCACUUGACGCACCGUGGGCUCGCCAUUCUCACAGGACUCAUCCUGAGUUCAUCUGGUAAUCGAGGUGGUCGUCCGAGCUCUUGCCUUUAUCCCAACGAAAAGCAAAACUUCUCACAUCUCUAUGACAAGCAGGUAGAUAUAGCUCAGAGUAGGGUGCCUGCGCCAGACUCCCAAGGUGACAGGGACAUAGGGACGCUGUCUUCCUCAAGGUUUACAUCUUAGAGAGAUGACUCAGGCUUAGAAAUGCAUUCCUGGCUGGAAUGCUGGCAAGCAGCUUAUACCACUUUUUUAAAGAUUUAGAUGUGAAUCAAAGGGAGACAGGAAAUAUUUCUAGGACUAGUUCUCUAAAGGAGAACCUCUGCAAAGGGAGGAGAGAGACAAUCUCUACUUUUUGUCAACAAGCACAAUGUAAUCUUUUAUUUCUUAUUUAUUAAGUUCUUUAUUUACAAUGCUGAGGAUGGAACCCAGCUCAGCCAGCACUCUACCACUGAGCCACGCCCCCAGUCCCAUCUUAAAAAAAAACCCAAAAAAACCCAUAAGAUGCUAAUAACAAUGUCCAAGAAUAUGGUAAAAUUAAAGGUGUUAAUAAAAAUAAUAACAUACUCAGGAUAACCAACACAAUAUAUUUUAAUAUAAAGAUGCACUUUCACAAGAAUAUCUAAAUAAUAAAUCCAUUUAUGUCAUAAUUACAAACUACUCCAGAAGAGGUUUUAAAAAAAAUUACAACAUAAAGUAAUAUUACAUGUUCUUUAGAUGGGGCAAAAAAAUCAAAUCCCACAUACCCCACUAGGUUUUUAUUAGAGAAUGUCUUUAUGGUGUUGGAUAAGUCAGGAACCUUUCUGUGAUUUGCUUUCCUUUUUUACCUUAGAAACUUACAGUUGUAGGUUAUUAAGUAGGCGAUGAUUGGUGUCACAUUCUCCAUACUCAGAGUUGCCACUGGCCAUCUGGAUAAGUGGGUUAAACCUUUGACCCCACUCCAGUGCCUUCUUGAGCCAAGAGAGCACACCUACACUCAGCACGCCAAUGCAGGUGUGUCAGAUGCUAUAGAAACAUAAGUCCUUGUUCAGGAGCUGGAAUAGAGAUCCACUUGGGAUGAGCCAGCAGGGAACCAAGAUGGGGCAACAGGUCAGGGUGAGGAAUGGGAAAGAAAACCAGGCUCUGAAAUGAGGAUUUCCAGAUGUGUGCUCUCAUCUGGGAGAGAGUAGAGAGGGGCCACCUUGGAAGGAAGAUGCAGAGCAGGUGAAGAGGGAAAGCCCAGCAAUAGACACACAAUUCAGCUCCAGUUGUCACUUAUUGCUGUGGGACUCACACAACUUUCUGAGUGCAGUUUCCUUGCCUAACAAAAGGAAAUAAUUUCUGAUAAUGAAUCAGAUUCCUUAUUUCCCCCAGCAUUCCCUCCAGACAAGGUUUAGCAUUGUUGUUGUAAAAGGAGAGAGAUUUACAAGGACCAACUCCAUGAUCACAGAGCAAGCAAAGAAGGUGAAUUUGUAGAGACAAUAAAUACAUACGAUAUCUAUCUUUAUUUCUAUUUCUGUACAUCAGUGCAUACCAGCAUCUUGAGGCUGACAAUAUUCUGUCAUGUAGAUAACACUCAUUUUGUUUCUGCAUUCAUCUGCUGAUGGAUAUUUGUUUAGUUUCCUCUCUUUAGCUAUGGUGAAUCAUGCUGCUGUGAACAUAUGUGUACAGAUCUUUGUUUUAAGUACCUGUUUUCAAUUCUUUGGGGUAUAUACACAGGAGUGGAAUUUCUGGAUCACAUGGUGGUUCUUGUUGAAUAACCACCAAACUGUUCUAUUCGAAUUUCCACCAGCAAUGUUAAGGGAGUUUCAGUUUCUCCGCAUCACUUCCAAAAUGUGUUAUUUUCCAUUUUGAGUAAUGUUAACAUAGCCAUCCUCAGUGAAAUGAUUUCUUAUGGUGGUUUUGGUUUGGAUCCCUGUUUGGAUCCACUCUGGGAUACAAAUCAAUCAUUAUUAUUUUUAUAUUAACUAUUAUUAACUUUUCAUACUUUCUAACAUAACCCAUUUCCCAAACAAGUUGGUAAAGUUUCUUUUACUCACAUUCUUGAACUUUAUCUUAUGACAUAACAUACAUCUCUUUGUUUGUUGCGCUUGUUCUAUUAAUUCACUGCCACUUAUGUUUAUGUUUGUUCAUAAUUCUUAGUUUUAUAUGUCACCCAAAUAAUAUGUCAGCAUAAGUCUCUGAUAAUUUCUCCUUUUUCACUGUUAGUUUUUAUAUUUCAGAUAAUAUUUCAUAUUUUUUGCCAAAUUCCCUCCAAACGAUUCCACGGAUAAGAUCGUAAUGCUGCAUUCUGUAUCUGUUGAACAAUGAUUGUCUUUGUUCACCUGAUUUCACAGAGAUUUGUGAAAUGGAUCCAAGUUUCUGAGCUUCUGCUAUCAAACCUCCCAAACCUGGAUUCAAAACCUGACUAGAUUUGCUUUGUGGAGAAAAAAGAUGAGAUGUAGUUAGGUUUAAGUAAAGAUCAAACAAUUGAAAAUGAGACUGAUUAUAAUCUAUUACUUCUGAAUUUUGUUUUAUUUCUCUUUACUCAUCUGCUUCUCUUAACCACAACACUCUCAACACUUUCCAAAGAGAAACAGCAAACAGAAGUCCAACACUCCAUCUAUAUUCUUGGUAAAGGAGGAAUCAAGAGAAACGACAUUUGAUUUUCUAGGCUGAAAAACAUUUCCACACAUGGAAAAACUCAUGCUGAAUGAGAGAGACACCAUACACGCACAGUCGCAGACUUGCGGCUCCAGAAGCUCACCUUGCUAAGAGCCAGUGGAACUUACUAUUGAUGGCACUUGUGUCAUACAAUACUGUUUUCCCUGUAAUCCCCUUUUAGAGCAGAUGUCUUCUAGCCAAUCUCCAUAAGGUAACUUGGGCUGAUUGACAGAUAUCACCUGAAAAAUCCAGCAGUUCUCAAUUUGAAAAACUUUGAGUUUCUGUAAUGAUUUAAAAUCAGAAUGGACAAAGUGCAAUGGUUUCUAUCUGGAGUGUUCCUCAACGGCCCACGUAUUGAAGGCUUGUGUAUGGAAGACCCAAGGUGGCUAUAAUUAGGCUCCCUCACAGAGACUUUCAGCCAGCUGUUUUAGUAUGUAGUCAAGGUCAUGAGUAUCUUUUAUGACCCUGAUUCAGCAUAUGGACUCAAGGUCAUAAAUAUCUGCUGUAUGCAUUCACCUAUGUAACCUGUUGGCACUGCGCCUUCUUUGGCCUGCAUAUAAAAAAGGUCUAUGGAAAGACUUGGGGCGAGGAUGCUUCCAUCUCUGGAUAAAACAUGUGUACUGUCCCAACUGCAUCUCACAUCUUCUUCCACUGCCAGGAUCCUGAAUCUGUGUCCUAGGGUCUGAGCCCCUGCAGGACCUUCCUCCCCAACCUGAGGUGCUAUUGGGAUGUAGUAGCUAUAUUAGGAGAUAAGGCCUUGCUUUUGGAGAUACUUAAGUUUAUGGAUGCCUUUGAAGGGAUAUUUGGACCCUGGCCCCUUCCUGUUUCUUUGCUUCCUGGUUGCCAAGAGGUAAACAGACUUCCUAUGCCACCUGCCAUAAUAUAUAUACUGGACACCCACAGGCCCAAAGCAACAGGAUCAAGUGACAUGAACUGAAACCUCUUAGACCAUGAACCAAACAAACAACAAAAAACCCUUUCCUUCUUUUAAGAUAAUUAUCUCAGGUAUUUUGUCAUAUGUAGCAAAAAUGGACUAACCACACUAGGUUAUGAAAAUAAUGUUAAGUAUGAAUGAUGUAUUCAUGUGUGAGUAUGUUAAUUUGAGUAUGCUUGUGAGCUUAGGAGCAGGUUGUGUUUAUAUGGGAAUGUGUUCAUGUUUGUAUGUAAGUGAUUUGGUGUAUGCAUGUGAGCAUGUUCAUGUGUUUGAAUAAAUGUGUGGCUUCUAACAACAAAUGUGUAGUCCUUGGGCACGCUGUGUGUCAAUAGUGGAUGUUCAGGCAGUCAAUCUUUGGAUGCUUGAGGGACACAGCCUGAUGAAAUGGCCACCAUCUCAAAUCCUGGUGUGCCAGAGAGAGAGAACAGGGCUUUUUCCACCUGUAGUAACAGAAAUGGAUUACUCUCCCCUGAAAGCUAAGCUCAUGAUUUGAA